rnacentral:rRNA from 1 species
AUCAAAAACAUAGUCGGCAGAUGAACUAAAUUUUUAUUGUCGAUAUCUUCUGCCCGGUGUUUAUAUAAACGGCCGCAGUACCUUGACUGUGCUAAGGUAGCAUAAUCAAUUGGCUAUUAAUUGUAGUCUAGUAUGAAUGAAGUAAUGAAUAGUAGCUAUAAUAAAAAAUAUUAUUUUAAUUUAAUGAACUGGUGAAAAUACCAGUAUAUAGAAAAAAGACGAGAAGACCCUUAGAGUUUUUGAAAUAAAGAUUGUUUAAGACUUUAAUUUAGACUACUCUUAAAGUAAUUAUACAAUACACUUUUUUGUUGGGGCGACAAGAAAGCAAUAUAACCUUUCUAUUGACACUAAAAGUGGUAAUAGACCUGACGAUAUUAUUAUGAAUGACUAAACUACCUGAGGGAUAACAGCAUAAUGAUAAAUAUUAGUUUGUGACCUCGAUGUUGGACUAGGGACUUGUACACUAACCGAGAUAAAAGCUUGUUCUGUUCGAACAAUAAACCCC